GACGAACGCUGGCGGCGUGCUUAACACAUGCAAGUCGAACGGAAAGGCCCUGCUUUUGUGGGGUGCUCGAGUGGCGAACGGGUGAGUAACACGUGAGUAACCUGCCCUUGACUUUGGGAUAACUUCAGGAAACUGGGGCUAAUACCGGAUAGGAGCUCCUGCUGCAUGGUGGGGGUUGGAGAGUUUCGGCGGUUGGGGAUGGACUCGCGGCUUAUCCGCUUGUUGGUGGGGUAGUGGCUUACCAAGGCUUUGACGGGUAGCCGGCCUGAGAGGGUGACCGGCCACAUUGGGACUGAGAUACGGACCAGAAUCGUACGGGAGGCAGCAGUGGGGAAUAUUGCACAAUGGGCGGAAGCCUGAUGCAGCAACGCCGCGUGCGGGAUGACGGCCUUCGGGUUGUAAACCGCUUUCGCCUGUGACGAAGCGUGAGUGACGGUAAUGGGUAAAGAAGCACCGGCUAACUACGUG
rnacentral:rRNA from 1 species